rnacentral:rRNA from 1 species
AGUGGCAAACGGGUGAGUAACACGUGGGUUACCUACCUCUAAGACGGGGACAACAGUUGGAAACGACUGCUAAUACCGGAUGUGUUCUACGGAAUAAAGGGAGCCUUAAAGCUCCGCUUAGAGAUGGGCCUGCGGUGCAUUAGAUAGUUGGUGAGGUAAUGGCUCACCAAGUCGACGAUGCAUAGCCGAACUGAGAGGUUAAACGGCCACACUGGGACUGAGACACGGCCCAGACUCCUACGGGAGACAGCAGUUAGGAAUAUUCGUCAAUGGAGGCAACUCUGACCCAGCCAUGCCGCGUGAAGGAAGACGGCCCUAUGGGUUGUAAACUUCUUUUGCCGCAGAGUAACCGCGGGGACGUGUCCCUGCCUGAGAGUAUGCGGCGAAUAAGUAUCGGCUAACUCCGUGCCAGCAGCCGCGGUAAUACGGGGGAUACGAGCGUUAUCCGGAUUAUUGGGUUUAAAGGGUGCGCAGGCGGACCGUUAAGUCAGGGGUGAAAAGUUGGGGCUCAACUCCAAUCGUGCCUUUGAUACUGGCGGACUAGAGUGCAGGGGACGUGACUGGAAUGUGAUGUGUAGCGGUGAAAUGCUUAGAUAUGUCACAGAACGCCGAUCGUGAAGACAGGUCACGAAUCUGCAACUGACGCUCAUGCACGAAAGCGUGGGGAUCAAACAGGAUUAGAUACCCUGGUAGUCCACGCUGUAAACGAAGAUCACUCGUUGUUGGCCGGUGGCGGUCAGUGGGUAAGCGAAAGCGAUAAGUGAUCCACCUGGGGAGUACGAUCGCAAGGUUGAAAACUCAAAGGAAUUGACGGGGGCCCGCACAAAGCGGAGGAGCAUGUGGUUUAAUUCGAUGAUACGCGAGGAACCUUACCCGGGCUUGAACGUAAGACGAAGAUACAGGAAACUGUAUCGCCUUCGGGCGUUUUGCGAGGUGCUGCAUGGUUGUCGUCAGCUUGUGCCGUGAGGUGUUAGGUUAAGUCCUGCAACGAGCGCAACCCUUACCUUCAGUUGCCAGCACGUAAUGGUGGGGACUCUGGAGGAACUGCCUACGCAAGUAGAGAGGAAGGUGGGGAUGACGUCAAAUCAGCACGGCCCUUAUGUUCGGGGCUACACACGUGCUACAAUGGCGUGUACAGAGGGCAGCUACCCCGCGAGGGGAUGCCAAUCCUCAAAGCACGUCUCAGUUCGGAUUGGAGUCUGUAACUCGACUCUAUGAAGUUGGAUUCGCUAGUAAUCGCGCAUCAGCCAUGGCGCGGUGAAUACGUUCCCGGGCCUUGCACACACCGCCCGUCAAG